rnacentral:rRNA from 1 species
UACGAAGGGGGCUAGCGUUGCUCGGAAUCACUGGGCGUAAAGGGUGCGUAGGCGGGUCUUUAAGUCAGGGGUGAAAUCCUGGAGCUCAACUCCAGAACUGCCUUUGAUACUGAAGAUCUUGAGUUCGGGAGAGGUGAGUGGAACUGCGAGUGUAGAGGUGAAAUCCGUAGAUAUUCGCAAGAACACCAGUGGCGAAGGCGGCUCACUGGCCCGAUACUGACGCUGAGGCGCGAAAGCGUGGGGAGCAAACAGG